AGGGGAAACGCGGCCUCCCCUAUAGAUGGAUUGCGCCAUCCAAGCGCUGC
rfam:Pseudorhodoplanes sinuspersici strain RIPI110, complete genome.